UCCGAGUUGACCCCGGCAGUCUCCUGCGAGUCCCCACCAUGACGUGCUGGCAACUACGGGCAAGGGUUGCGCUCGUUGCGGGACUUAACCCAACAUCUCACGACACGAGCUGACGACAGCCAUGCAGCACCUGUGCACGUGUCCCGAAGGCACAGCUUCCUUUCGGAAGCCUUGGCAGGAUGUCAAGCCUGGGUAAGGUUCUUCGCUUAUCGUCGAAUUAAACAACACGCUCCACCGCUUGUGCGGGUCCCCGUCAAUUCCUUUGAGUUUUAGCCUUGCGGCCGUACUCCCCAGGCGGGGAACUUAAUGCGUUAGCUUCGGCACGGACGGAGUCGACACCGCCCACACCUAGCUCCCAUCGUUUACGGCGUGGACUAC
rnacentral:misc_RNA from 1 species